UGUGAGAACCUUCCUGCCGCUGCGUUUGUACCUCGCUGCUCCAGCCUCUGGGGUGCAUUCCAACCUUCCAGCCUGCGACCAGCAAAGAAAAAAAAUUACAUAUUUUUUUUGCAUCGUACAUACCUUGAGGUGAGCAAAAAAAUUAAAUUUUAACCAUGAGGGAAAUCGUGCACAUCCAGGCCGGUCAGUGUGGCAACCAGAUCGGUGCCAAGUUCUGGGAGGUGAUCAGUGAUGAACAUGGCAUUGACCCCACUGGCACCUACCACGGGGACAGUGACCUGCAGCUGGACCGCAUCUCCGUGUACUACAAUGAAGCCACAGGUGGCAAAUAUGUUCCUCGUGCCAUCCUGGUGGAUCUAGAACCUGGGACCAUGGACUCUGUUCGCUUGGGUCCUUUUGGCCAGAUCUUUAGACCAGACAACUUUGUUUUUGGUCAGUCUGGGGCAGGCAACAACUAAGCCAAAGGCCACUACACAGAAGGGGCCAGGCUGGUUGAUUCUGUCCUGGAUGUGGUUCACAAGGAGGCCGAGAGCCAUGACUGCCUUCAGGGCUUCCAGCUGACCCCCUCACUGGGCGGGGCACAGGCUCUGGAAUGGGCACUCUCCUUAUCAGCAAGAUCCGAGAAGAGUACCCUGAUCGCAUCAUGAACACCUUCAGUGUGGUGCCUUCACCCAAAGUGUCUGACACCAUGGUCGAGCCCUACAAUGCCACCCUCUCCGUCCAUCAGUUGGUAGAGAACACUGAUGAGACCUAUUGCAUUGACAACGAGGCCCUCUAUAACAUCUGCUUCCGCACUCUGAAGCUGACCACACCAACCUAUGGGGAUCUGAACCACCUCGUCUCAGCCACCAUGAGCGGUAUCACCACCUGCCUCCGCUUUCCUGGCCAGCUCAAUACUGACCUCCGAAAGUUAGCAGUUAAUAUGGUCUCCUUCCCACGUCUCCAUUUCUUUAUGCCUGGCUUUGCCCCUCUCACCAGCCAUGGAAGCCAGUGGUAUCGAGCUCUCACAGUGCCCAAACUCACCCAGCAGGUCUUCGAUGCCAAGAACAUGAUGGCUGCCUGUGACCCCCGCCAUGGCCGAUACCUCACUGUGGCUGUUGUCUUCCAUGGUCGGAUGUCCAUGAAGGAGGUCGAUGAGCAGAUGCUUAACGUGCAGAACAAGAACAGCAGCUACUUUGUGGAAUGGAUCCCCAACAACGUCAAGACAGCCGUCUGUGACAUACCACCUCGUGGCCUCAAGAUGACAGUCACCUUCAUCGGCAACAGCACAGCCAUCCAGGAGCUCUUCAAGCGCAUCUCAGAGCAGUUCACUGCCAUGUUCCGCCAGAAUGCCUUCCUCCAUUGGUACACAGGCGAGGGCAUGGACGAAAUGGAGUUCACCGAGGCUGAGAGCAACAUGAAUGACCUCGUCUCUGAGUAUCAGCAGUACCAGGAUGCCACCGCAGAAGAGGAGGAGGAUUUCGGUGAGGAGGUUGAAGAGGAGGCCUAAGGCAGAGCCCCCAACACCUCAGGCUUCUCAGUUCCCUUAGCUGUCUUAUUCAACUGCCCCUUUCCUCUCCCUCAGAAUUUGUGUUUGCUGCCUCUUAUCUUUUUUCGUUUGUUUGUUUUCUUCUGGGGGGUCUAGAAUAGUGCCUGGCACAUAGUAGGCGCUCAAUAAAUACUUGUUUGUUGAAUGUCUCCUCUCUCUUUCCACGGGAAACCUAGGUUUCUGCCAUUCUGGAUGACCCUGUAUUUCCUUCUGGUGACCAUUCCUUCCAUCUGUCCAGUUAAUAUUCCCCUUUUAAAAAUCUCCAAGAAGCUGGGUCUCAUCCAGAUCCUGUUUAGAACCAACCAGGUGCUGAAAACAUGUAGAUAAUGGCAACCAUCCUAAGUGCAAAGUAGAAAAUGCUAGAAGGUAGUGGGGUAGAAGUCACUGUAAGGAAAGAGAUGGAAUUUUCCAUUCUAAAAGUUUGGGAGAGGGACAUCGAAGCUAUUAAGUCAUUAAUUUCUAGGUAUUUCCAUUUCCCAUCUCAGUUUCAAGGGAGGUGUUAACAGUAUUAUUUCCAUUUUUGAUCUCCCUCCAAGCUCUACCUUGUGGAGGGGUCUGCCUCACUCUAUCAAGUGGAAUCCUUCCCUCUCCAACUCUACCUCCCUCACUCAUUAAACUCCUUUCUGCUGAUCAGAGAAAGGGAUCAAGGGGGGAAAGAGACCAGCCUUGGUCCCUAAGCCUCCAGAAAUGUCCUAACCCCCACCUUUUCUUGUCCCUGAAAAGGAAUUAACAUCCCUGACUAUGUGGAACAGUGUAUACUGCCACAUCAGUGUUUGAGUCAAUGCCCAGAGGAGAGGGGGACCCUCCUCCAUCUUUUUUGCAACAUCUCAUAUUUCCUUUUGCUGUGGCUUCCCCCCACACACACUUGAUUUUGUUCUAUCCUACAUUUGAGAUUUCUAUUUUGUGUUGAACUUGCUGCUUUUUUUCAUAUUGGAAGGAUAACAUUGCCCCAAGAGCCAAAAAUAAAUGGGAAUUGAAAAAAAAAAA